rnacentral:rRNA from 1 species
GAUGAACGCUGGCGGCGUGCCUAAUACAUGCAAGUCGAGCGAACGGACGAGAAGCUUGCUUCUCUGAUGUUAGCGGCGGACGGGUGUGUAACACGUGGAUAACCUACCUAUAAGACUGGGAUAACUUCGGGAAACCGGAGCUAAUACCGGAUAAUAUUUUGAACCGCAUGGUUCAAAAGUGAAAGGCGGUCUUGCUGUCACUUAUAGAUGGAUCCGCGCUGCAUUAGCUAGUUGGUAAGGUAACGGCUUACCAAGGCAACGAUGCAUAGCCGACCUGAGAGGGUGAUCGGCCACACUGGAACUGAGACACGGUCCAGACUCCUACGGGAGGCAGCAGUAGGGAAUCUUCCGCAAUGGGCGAAAGCCUGACGGAGCAACGCCGCGUGAGUGAUGAAGGUCUUCGGAUCGUAAAACUCUGUUAUUAGGGAAGAACAUAUGUGUAAGUAACUGUGCACAUCUUGACGGUACCUAAUCAGAAAGCCACGGCUAACUACGUG